UACGGAGGGUGCAAGCGUUAUCCGGAUUCACUGGGUUUAAAGGGUGCGUAGGCGGGCAGGUAAGUCAGUGGUGAAAUCUCCGAGCUUAACUCGGAAACUGCCAUUGAUACUAUUUGUCUUGAAUAUUGUGGAGGUAAGCGGAAUAUGUCAUGUAGCGGUGAAAUGCUUAGAUAUGACAUAGAACACCAAUUGCGAAGGCAGCUUACUACACAAUGGUUGACGCUGAGGCACGAAAGCGUGGGGAUCAAACAGG
rnacentral:rRNA from 1 species